GCGGUCAUGGCGAAAUUGGCAGACGCGUAAGAUUCAGGUUCUUAUGAGCAAUAGUUCAUGCAGGUUCAAGUCCUGUUGACCGCACCA
rnacentral:tRNA from 1 species